UACGGGGGGAGCAAGCGUUGUUCGGAUUUACUGGGCGUAAAGGGCGCGUAGGCGGCCUCCGCAAGUCAAUUGUGAAAUCUCCGGGCUUAACUCGGAAAGGUCAACUGAUACUGCGGGGCUAGAGUGCGGAAGGGGCAACUGGAAUUCUUGGUGUAGCGGUGAAAUGCGUAGAUAUCAAGAGGAACACCUGCGGCGAAGGCGGGUUGCUGGGCCGACACUGACGCUGAGGAGCGAAAGCCAGGGGAGCAAACGGG
rnacentral:rRNA from 1 species